ACCUUCAGCUAUGUUGCAAUGGGAUACAUACAACAUUACAACAUACCUGAAGGUUACUCAGUGAGAAUAAACAUCUCUGUAAAUGCAUUUAGUUGAUCCAGUAUGUAUUUUAGACUUGUUGAUAUGUCUAUGUUAAAUCUAGGGUUGAUAAUGUUGAGAAACUAGCAAGAGUAUGAUAGAUUUUAAAAAUGAUCCCAG